GAAUUCAGAAAAUAAACAGGGCUGAAUUAGAUGGUAAUCAAUUUUAUCCAAAUGAAAAUCAAGGCUGAAAUGCAUGAUAUCUAGUCUAAUUUCCAAUCAAAGGUCUCAAAUCAAGUAACAACACAACAAAAGGAACCAAAUAAGGCAGACAGAGAACUACUCUCCAUUCAAAAAUGUGUGUGUCACUGUGUCCAUGACAUGCAUGAAGUGAAACUUUCCUGAUUGUGACUACUCAGGAGGGCAAUCUAUAAUGUAUUCCAAACAGAUGCCCCACGUAAAAAUUCAAAUUAAGAAACCCAGGAGGGAAAUCAUGGUAUAUUCAAACAUCCUAAUAUCAAUGACCAAUGAUGUACAAAAGUGACAUAAGUAUAAUUUAGCUUAAAAAAACAGAUGUUUCCACGGUAUAUUACAAGGUCGUGAGUCCUUGAUAAUCUAUAAUUACAAGAAUUUGUGGCCAAACAGAUACUUUUGAACCACAUCUAUACUCGCAUAAAAAUCUCAGUUAGUGAUGAUGGUGUGCGGUGUGCCUGCCAUCUAUGAUUUCAGACCAUCAGAUUUCCAUCUAAUGCAUGCAAAUGCAAGGCAUGACACAUUUGCAGAAACAUGCCCGCCACUCUGCCCAAAUUUUCACGGAACUCCUUGAUCUUUCCCAUCCAACCCCAAUCCCCACCCCUUCCCAGCUCAAGCCGCCCACCUCCUGACCUCUAGGCCUACGACUCCGUAUCCAUCGACACCUAGAAGGCUAGAACCUUCGCCGCCGCCGGCCCCUCCCACCGGCCACCUGUGUGCCGAUGCCCCCUCCAUCUAGCCGCCACCCACAUCUGCGCCGCCUACAACGCCCCCGUUCUUCUGCGCCUCCGCCCCUAGCUCGCCCAUCCAAAGCUUAUCUCCGUCCUCCCGAGCAAGCCGCCAAACCUACAGACGAGAUACUCGAUUUUUCUGCCCUCCGUAUACGAGGUUGCCAAGCUGCCGGAUCUGGUGGAAAUCGCCCCAAUCCCAGGGUGAGCUCAUAUGGCAGCUGGCUCGAGUUAGUCUACAGACCUCCACAGCCACUACACAUGAGGUGACAGACACCUAGCCAGGCCGCCACGUAUGCGGAUGCACAGCUCGUGGAUCCGGUGGAGGUGGCCCCAAUACCAGCAUCAGCUCGUCCCGCCGCUGCCCCUAACUUGCCUACAGGCUGCCGCAGGAGUCACUCACGUGGUCGGAUUAACAACCUGGUGGUCAACUUCCCUCCAGAAUUCUAUGCUACAAGAUAAAAUUAAGUGAUUUGGAACGCUACAAUAUCAAUUCGUUUACCCAUGGGCGGCAUGCUACUUCGUAUAAUGCUCACAGACAUGGAGAGAUGACGAUGCGUGACAUGGAAGGGUGACCGAGUAGGAAAUGCACUAGCAGGUUCAGUCAGUAGUCGUCAUACCUCCAUUGCACAGAUUCGUGGGGACAAGUAUUGGUAUUGUCGCAUUGUCGUUCUUCUAUUAUUGAUAGUAAAGGUUAGGUUAAAGUGAUGUGCUUAAUAUGUCACUAUUUCUAGCAGAGAAUGGUGUGUGGGCUGGAGGGUGAAGCACAUGUUAAGCGAGGAGGAGCUGAAGACAGAGACUUAUUUGGAUUGUCAUUGCAAUUGCCAAAUGCGUGUGUGGAAAGAUUUUCUUUGUCACAUGCUCUAUGCACUAUAGGAUAGAGCAAGGAAUGAUAAAGCACAGGAAGUCCUCCUGAAAGGUGAAUAUGGAGAAGAAACCGUUUGGCUUAGAAGAAGGGUUUUUUAGUUGGAAACCGUAUGUUCGAUUGUGCUCGACGUGUAUUGAUCAACAAUAUAACAUCAUUUUGAUCAAUAUCUCGGUACAUUUUAUUAUUGUUUUGUAGCAAUGUACUCACUCUUGACUAGUACAAUUUAAGUAAAUUAUGUUC